GGCCCCUUGAUUUCAUAUCUAAAUAAUCAAAACAAUCCGAGAUGGAUCUCGAUAGUAGACUGGAUGAGCUGUCCUAUAAAUUAAAUCAUCUAACGGCUAUCAAACAAUCUCCCUCUCCAUCUUUUCCUCUUGUGCAAUAAGUUUGCAUAAUUUGUUCAAGCCUCACUCACUUUGUGAGUGAAUACCCAGCCGCACACUAAUUUUCUGAGUUUAUUCAUCAAGAUCAAAUCCAAAUAGCCUAUAAUUAGAAAAUAAUCCAUAC
rnacentral:lncRNA from 1 species